CUACGGGUGGCUCCAGUGGGGAAUAUUGCACAAUGGGGGAAACCCUGAUGCAGCGACGCCGCGUGAAGGAAGAAGGCCUUCGGGUUGUAAACUUCUUUGAUUGGGGACGAAUAAAAUGACGGUACCCAAAGAACAAGCCACGGCUAACUACGUGCCAGCAGCCGCGGUAAUACGUAGGUGGCAAGCGUUGUCUGGAAUUACUGGGUGUAAAGGGCGUGUAGGCGGGUAUGCAAGUCAGAUGUGAAAUUCCACGGCUUAACUGUGGGCGUGCAUCUGAAACUGUAUAUCUUGAGUGCUGGAGAGGAAAGCGGAAUUCCUAGUGUAGCGGUGAAAUGCGUAGAUAUUAGGAGGAACGCCAGUGGCGAAGGCGGCUUUCUGGACAGUAACUGACGCUGAGGCGCGAAAGCGUGGGGAGCAAACAGGAUUAGAUACCCGCGUAGUC
rnacentral:rRNA from 1 species